GUGGCGGGUAGAGGCUAAGAACCGUGUCCCGCAAGGACGGGCACCGGGGACGCGGGGAGCCAGUGGUGCGACCGGCUACCACAGGU
rnacentral:ncRNA from 1 species